AACGAACGCUGGCGGCAGGCUUAACACAUGCAAGUCGAGCGCCCCGCAAGGGGAGCGGCAGACGGGUGAGUAACGCGUGGGAAUCUACCUAUCACUACGGAACAACUCCGGGAAACUGGAGCUAAUACCGUAUACGUCCGAGAGGAGAAAGAUUUAUCGGUGAUAGAUGAGCCCGCGUUGGAUUAGCUAGUUGGUGGGGUAAUGGCCUACCAAGGCGACGAUCCAUAGCUGGUCUGAGAGGAUGAUCAGCCACACUGGGACUGAGACACGGCCCAGACUCCUACGGGAGGCAGCAGUGGGGAAUAUUGGACAAUGGGCGAAAGCCUGAUCCAGCCAUGCCGCGUGAGUGAUGAAGGCCUUAGGGUUGUAAAGCUCUUUCACCGGUGAAGAUAAUGACGGUAACCGGAGAAGAAGCCCCGGCUAACUUCGUGCCAGCCGCCGCGGUAACAC
rnacentral:rRNA from 1 species